ACUACAGCACCCAGUGAGAGGACUCCACGCUCCACAGGAAGUUGUGUUUCCGUAAUCGAAUGUAAUUCUUCUAAACUAAUCUGAUCCAAAGAGAUAAAUCAUAAAAAAAUUAAAAUAAUUCGUUGGCUUACCGAAUCCAAAAAGGACAUUAUGGUAAGUUUCCAGUGCCGGACCAAUCAUUAUAUACUCCACCCACCGCACGCCUUCCGAGCUCCCACCAACGGAAAAUAUACUCCCCAUCCGCUCCCCUUCGCCUCUGCUUCCGAGCUCUCUUCACUACUUCGAUUGUCUCUCGGAAACUAAUUGCCAAUGGCUUUGGAUGAGACCAUGGCGGCCGCUCACGACUUCGUCAAAGAUGAUGAUGAUGAUGAUGAUGAUGAUUACGGCGGGGCCGUCCGUUUCAUGCCGGACGGCGGCGGCGGCGACAUCGGCUAUAGGCGGAUCUCGCGCCUCUCGAUCGAGAGCUCGGACGGCAAUGACGCGGACGCCGAGGUAUCGGAGGAGGAGAAGGUGGUGGUGAGGAAGAGCAUCCUGGCGUCGCUGAUGGAGGGGGAGGGGGAGGACUCCGGCAACGACUGGGCAUCGACGGGGACGGCGUCGCUGCCGGGGACGCCUCUCCGGGGAACGCCGGGUCCGGCGGCGAAGGAGUACGCGAGCGAGACGGAGGCGCGUGGGCUGCGGGUCGGGGGCGGGGGGAGGAGGCGGCGGAGGGCGAGGGAACGGUGGCUGGAGCGGUCGUGGGAGAAGAAGAAGAGGAUGGCGGAGGAGGGGCCGGCGGCGGCGGCAACGGAGGGGAUGGUCGACGUCGGCGAGUGCAGGGUUUUGGUGCGGCCGAGAGGUGGGAUGGGGACGCUGUGUAUGGAUAUGGAGGAGGUGAAGGCGUGCCGGGAUCUGGGGCUGGAGCUGCCCAGGGAUUGGACGGUCGAGAUCCCGUGCGCCCUCUCCGGAUCGACGGUGGAUACCAGCAGCGGCGGCAACUCCCCCAUAGCUAACUGGAGGAUCUCCAGCCCUGCAGGCGAUGACCCCAAGGAUGUGAAGGCUAGGCUCAAGGUUUGGGCUCAAGCAGUGGCACUCGCAUCUGCUUCUCGUCUCAGCAGCUGACUCAAUCCUACAAACUGCAUUCACAUGCAUGUUUUCAAUCGUUGCUUUCUGCACUCGGUUUUGAGAUAAAACUAGGAGCAUAUAUACAAAGAAAAAAGAGUAUUGAAUAUAGCAUGGUGAUUUGGAGGUUUUCCACAUAGCUCCAGUCCAAGUGGUUGCUGCACUCGCCCGUUUGGAGGCAUUGCAUCGACUCAAGCAGCAUGGGGUUUCAAGCUGUGAAAGGGGUGACAUCCUUGGAGGUUGAUGACGAGAUGGAGUCUCUUGGAACUAAUUCUGCACUGAAACUAGUGAUGAGAUAUUUUGCCCUUGUGCUAGAGACCAAGGUCCUUUGUAUCAGCCUUUAGGCUCAUAUAUAAUUUGAUAAAAAGGAACAAAAAAAAAAAGAUUUUUCAAAA